rnacentral:tRNA from 1 species
GCUCUGGCCCGGUAGCUCAGUUGGUAGAGCAGCGGAUUGAAAAUCCGCGUGUCGGUGGUUCGAAUCCGCCCCCAGGCACCA